rnacentral:rRNA from 1 species
UACGUAGGGUGCGAGCGUUAAUCGGAAUUACUGGGCGUAAAGUGUGCGCAGGCGGCAGAGCAAGUCGAGUGUGAAAGCCCCGGGCUUAACUUGGGAAUUGCGCUCGAAACUACUUUGCUGGAGUGUGGCAGAGGAAGGUGGAAUUCCACGUGUAGCGGUGAAAUGCGUAGAGAUGUGGAGGAACACCAAUAGCGAAGGCAGCUCGCUGGGACGGUACUGACGCUAAGGCGCGAAAGCGUGGGGAGCGAACAGG